UGAGUUUGAUCAUGGCUCAGAUUGAACGCUGGCGGCAUGCUUUACACAUGCAAGUCGAACGGUAACAGGGAGCUUGCUCCGCUGACGAGUGGCGAACGGGUGAGUAAUGCGUCGGAACGUGCCGAGUAGUGGGGGAUAACGCAUCGAAAGGUGUGCUAAUACCGCAUACGAACUGAGGUUGAAAGUGGGGGACCUUCGGGCCUCACGCUAUUUGAGCGGCCGACGUCUGAUUAGCUAGUAGGUGAGGUAAAGGCUCACCUAGGCGACGAUCAGUAGCGGGUCUGAGAGGAUGAUCCGCCACACUGGGACUGAGACACGGCCCAGACUCCUACGGGAGGCAGCAGUGGGGAAUUUUGGACAAUGGGCGCAAGCCUGAUCCAGCCAUGCCGCGUGUCUGAAGAAGGCCUUCGGGUUGUAAAGGACUUUUGUCUGGGAGCAAAUACCCGGUGUUAAUAGCGCCGGGGGCUGAGAGUACCAGAAGAAUAAGC
rnacentral:rRNA from 1 species